GAGGGGGGAGAUUUCUCCAAACAGCCAGAUUUCUGACCCCUCUGCAGACUCGGAAGACAUGGCAGCUCAGGAGCCCUGAUGGCCGUUUCCUGGAGCCAAGAGUGUGCAGCCCUUGAAGCCCGCCAUUUCCCAGGGCUCCAGGGUCCCCACCACUCCCUACUGCUUCAUAUCCACCUUGCUUCCCUCUUCUGCCUUGGCCUGGCCCCUGUAGGCAUUGAGUCUGCAGUCCUUGUUUAGGGGCUGAGCAGCAGCAGCAAGUCCCAUCUGCCAAUAAGCAACCUCUGCAGGCCUGACACUGGCUGAGUUGUCCCUUUUAUCUCAAAGGGGCAUCACCCUGCAUUUGAGAACAUCUCAACAGACUCCCCGUCACCAGGAACGUGCCUGCUACUUGACAGAGCCAGGGAGGGAGGAUUGGCUGAUCUGGGGUUUUAUUGGCCCCCAGGAGAUGGAAGGCCCAGGCUCCAGCUGCGGUGGAGGACAAAGGGGACUUGUUUUGGUGACAAUGGUGCCUUUCAGGAGGGAGGAGGUGGCUUUUGUUAAGGGGGAACGAUGAGUUCAAGGGGUUCUGACUUAUUCUGGCAAGUUUCUCCAGCUCUACAAGAACUUCUAGUGCUCUGGGCAGCUGCGAGGGGUCAAGAAACCACAUCCCCAAAUCCAGCGGGUGAGUCUCAUUCCUUUGCUGAGUGGGGGCCUAAAAUGGGGCACUGUGGCUGCCUGACAAAGGAAGAGACUGAUGGCUGACCCUUAGAUGUGGGCUAGGGGACUGUAAUUGAUUUCCCUUCACAUUUCUGUCAGCAGGAGGAAUAACAGGAGGGCUAAGCGGGAAUUGUGGUGUUCAAAGUCAAAGAACAUUAACCUGCGGAUAACUCUGGGCCUCAUUAGCAACCCAGCCUUCUGAUGUUUUCUCUCCACACACAGGAUCUCAGAGAGAAAGGCUGAUGGGAAGCUGCCCAGGGCUGACCUGGCACAUGCUGGGAAAACCCCUCGGUGCCAGGGCAGGAGGCAGAGCGUCUGCAGCUCCUCCCUCCCCAACACAGGGGGUAAGGAAUACAGCAGAACGGGAAUCGGGCGCCUUCAUGCUGCUGUUACCGCCCUUGGUUCAUGGCUUCUUUCACUUGGAAACCCCAGGAGGUGGGCAUUGCUGUACCGCAUGUGCUACUGACCAAAACAGGCCAAAGCUCAGCGAGGGGUGGGAUCACCUAAGGUUGUGCAGCACCUACGUGGUGGAGUGAGGAUCCGAGCCUCCAUCUUUCAUGCAUUAAUUCAUUCUGUCUCUGGAUUCCCCUAGAAGCAGACCCUGAGGCAAGGAUCCACAUAUUUACCAAGGGCAGAGAAAAUGCAUGGGAAUACACAGCCAAGAAGCAAUCCAGUGCCCCUUCCACUCACAGCUAAGUUCCUGUUGACGAGGCGGCCCAGCUCCCCAGGCGUGGCUGUGUUCCGGAUAUCCACAUCGUGGGGCGACACAUAAAGCUUUGUGUCAUUCAAGUCAAAGAACUCGACUUCUGUGAGACCCACCCACCACGAGUUGCCCCAGUUGGACAGGAUCUCCAUGGUCACGUAGAUGGCAUCUUUGAUCUCGUCUGCCCUCAUUCUCUGUUUGUCCUUAAAGAAGAGAAAAAUAACACCAAAGGAUUAAGUCAUGACAGGCUUGAAUUCGGCUCUGCCUCUGCCACCACUGCCUUCAAAAAGUUAGUUAACCUUCAGGGUCUCAGUCUCUCCAUCUGUACAAUGAGGAUAAGAAUAGCACCCACUACCUAUGGUUAUUACAAUGAUUAAAUGAAUUCAUACUGUAAAGCAUUCAAAAUAGAGGCCCUGUGUAACUGGCACUCUGUGAGCAUUCUGUUUGAAAGUUUACAAAUAAAUAAAAAUGUCUAAAAAGCAUUGAAUUCUGCCUGAACAUGCACGUCUCUCCCCCACUACUCAGUGUUCGGUACCCAGAAGCUUGUCACGACAUCUGCUGAAUUGAGUAGGUGUUACGUGCUAAGGCCGGGCACGGUGGCUCACGCCUGUAAUCCCAACACUUUGAGAGGCCAAGCUCGGAGGAUUCCUCGAGGCCAGGAGUUCAAGAUCAGCCUAAGCAACAAAGUGAGAUCCUGUCUUUACAAAAAAAUUAAAAAAAAAAAAGAGCUUGGCACAGCGGCACAUGCCUGUAGUCCCAGCUACGCAGGAGGCUGAGGCAGGAGGAUUGCUGGAGCCCAGGUGGUUGAGGCUGCAGUGAGCUGUGUUCACACCACUGCAUUCCAGCCUGGGUGAAAGACCCAGUCUCAAAAAAAAAAAAAAAAGGUUACGGGCUGAAUUUAUCCCUUCCAAAUUAAUCUGAUGAAACUCUAAUCCCCAGUACCUCAGAAUAUGACUGUAUUUGGAGAUAAGGCCUUUAAAUAGGUGAUUAAGUUAAAAUGAGGCUGUGGGGGAGGGGGGCACUAAUCCAAUCUAACUGGUGUCCUUAUAAGAGGAAAGUUGGACACACAGAGAGACACACCAAGGAUGCACACACAGAAAAAGGCCAUAUGAGGGCAAAGCAAGAAGGCAGCUAUCUGCAAGCCAGAGAGAGGCCUCAGAACAAACCAAACCUGCCAACACCUUGAUCUUGGACUUCCAGCCUUCGGAAUUGUGAGAAAACAAAUCUCUGUUGUUGAAGCCACCCCAUGUGUGGUAUUUUGUUAUGGCAGCCCUGGUGGACUGAUAUAGUAGGUAACAUGGCCCCCUGGCCUUGGACAAGUCACUUGACAUCCCUCGGCCUGGUUGGGGAAGAGGACAUGACACCAUCUAUGUGAUAAUCCUGUCACAGAUGUUAAACAAGAUAUCAAUACCUAAGAAGGCCCUAUCAUGAGCCUCGGCCCUGGGUGCGCUCUGUAAGUGUCUGUUUCUUUCUGUUUCUCUCCUUCAUUGGUUUUAAUGCCUGCCUCCUUCCUGCGUCGGCUGUCUGCUCUGAGAGCCUGCGUGAAUGCCAUCAAUAAAUGGCCACCGUUCGGAAUGGCUUCCUGAGGCCCUCCAGGGCUGAUUGCAGCACUGGUCGCCACGGAUCAGUCACUCACAAAAUGGUGCAUUCCCCAUGUGCACAUGCCCUCUGUUAAUUAGCAUGGGUAAUCUGCAAUGGUUCUGUGAGCAGGGAGCCAAGCAAAUGAACAGCAACUGUUCCCCACUUAUUUUUUUAAUUAAUAGCCAGCGAGACGUGCUAUUGCUCUCAGUGUGUGUUUGGAGGGGCCUUGAUUGCCACACGGUGGGAACGCGGAUAGGGAGGAGGGAGAGAGGUCAGCUCACAGCUCCUGGAUAAAAGAUAGGGCCUGUUUUGAUCAGCUGGGCCCUCGAAACCCACAGCUUCCUCCUGCUCC
rnacentral:lncRNA from 1 species